CUUUUACGUAGAGUGUGUGUGGCAUCAACGCGAUAUGAAACCAGAAUCUAUCGUAAUCGUCAGCGGAAAGAAAGAGGACCAGACGAAAUUGCUAAAUGACUCUGAAAACAAGCAUGAUCCAGUAAUAUUAUUGGAUAUAAGUCCAUCAAAAAUGGCUUCGACAAAAAAACUAGCAAUCUGUGCCACUGGAAUUUUCGUUUGUUACUUUUACUAUGGGAUUCUACAGGAAAAAAUAACCAGAAGUACUUACGGCGAUGGAGAAAAAUUCACCUUUACACCGACUCUUGUUUUUAUACAAUGUAUUGUCAAUGCACUAUUUGCUAAAAUUAUGUUGCAUACCUUUAUGAAGCAAGGAGAAGAUAAUACAAAACAAAUCUAUUAUGCUGCUUGUGGAAUGUCAUAUUUAGGUGGCAUGGUUACUAGUAAUAUGGCAUUAGAACAUGUCAAUUAUCCAACUCAAGUUGUUGGCAAAUCAUGUAAACCUAUACCUGUGAUGAUUAUGGGUGUUCUGAUUGGUAAAAAGAAAUACACCCUUCAGAAGUAUCUCUUUGUGUUUAUGAUUGUUGUUGGUAUCUGCAUCUUCAUGUACAAAGACAAACCAUCAUCUGCUGAUGUUGCAGAGAGCUCGCUUUUAGGAAUAGGAGAAAUGUUGCUGAUUGCAUCUUUGAUAUUGGAUGGAUUUACAGGUGCUAUCCAAGAUAGGAUGAGAGCCGAAUAUCAACCAAAAUCAUGUCACAUGAUGUACAGCAUGAAUAUGUGGUCUGUUCUUAUACUAGGCAUAGUUGUUUUAGUGACCAGUGAAAUUUGGAGUUUUCUUGCAUUUGUGGAGAAAUAUCCUUACAUCAUUUUUAACAUGCUCAAUUUUUCAUUGAUGAGUGCUAUUGGUCAGAUAUUUCUAUUUCUGGUUGUAAGUGACUUUGGACCACUCGUUUGCUCCAUCAUAACUACCACCAGAAAGUUUUUCACAGUUUUAGGUUCUGUAUUUUUCUUUGGGAACACUUUAAUUGGUCGUCAGUGGCUCGGAACCCUCCUAGUCUUUGCAGGAUUGACAUUAGAUAGUCUGUAUGGGAAACAAGGUCCACCAAAGAAGGCUUAACUUUAUGCACUCCGAUACUUACAGGGAAGUUUUUUUUGUAAAAAAUUUUUAAAAAAAGAUAUAGAAUUACAAAUCUUUAUUUUACUGUGAUAUGAUUUGUAAUACAAACUAUAUUUAUUAUUGGAUCUGUGGAAGCUAAAAGAAAGCUAUCCCAUCUAAUAAGACUGUUGGCAAAACUUUAUUUAAAAAAAGAAAUCUUAUUUUCUGUAUUAAAAUUUAAGUUUUUAGAAAAUAUUUAUAAUAUUUAUUAGACCUGAUAUAAUUUUAUCGUGAUUGUAAUCAGGUAACUGUCAUCAGCUAAUGGACAAGUAUUUUAACAGGAUUUUGUUGCAUAUUUUACUAUUUCAAUAAGAAAAAGUCUGAAAAUGUAAUUAAACCAUGCAUUUAGAGAGAAAAACCUUCAAAUAUAAUAAAUUUCAUCUAUAUGUUACCUACAAACUCAAAUUAGUUUUAAUGUUUUUAAAAUAUCGCACGCCGGCAAGAAAAGUGAUACAAGUAAAAGAACAGCAUUUGAGAAAAAUAAACUUAAAUAAAACUAUAAAACUUAUUCUGAAAUAGCACAAUCUAGAGAUGACACUUUUUGAGCUUGAUGGGGCACUUCAUAACCUCAAAAUUGCCAUUUUUUGACUUGUGCCACUUUUCUUGCCAGGGUGUGAUUAAUUUUUGUGUAACAAAAACAUUAUUCAAAGAAUAUUUUUUUUCUUUUAAAGUUAUAUUUAAAGGUAUACUGCCAACAAGGAUAAGAAAAAAAAUCCAGAAAUUUUACGAAAUAAUAUAAAUUUAAUGAUAAUUGUUGCAUAAUGUACUAAAUAUUUUACACGUAUGGAAUUUAGAGAUUUUUAUAGUCAUGAAAAUAGGAAAGCUGCAAUAUUUUCCAGUUACGAUUGACAUCAAACAUAUUUGAAAUGUUAUGUAUUAUGUUUACUUUAAAUUUGAAUAUUAUUAGGCAGAAAAGAUUUUUUAAAUUAACUAAGAGAGUACUGAAAUAAAUUCUACAAAUGAGAUUCACUUUAUGUAUCAGUAAUACUUAUUUAAAUAUUCAAGCAAUAAUCAGGACAAAAAUUCUAUUUCAAUAGGGAAUUUUCUAAAAUGUUUAGAAACUGGCAAAAUCCAGUAGAGUUGGCAGUUGUGCACAUUGUAUAGCUAUAAUAAAAAAAAAAAAGGAAUCUUUUCUUCCAAACAUGAACACCUUGAAAUUCUUUGUGAAAUCUAAUUCAUAAAAUUCUCAUUGAUUUCGCACACAUUAAGAUUUUUGAUUACAAUCUUCAUAAUCAUUUUGUAUUUAUAUUUCAUAAUCAUAUUAUUUAUAUUCUUUCGUUUCCCAGUAAAUGAACUCUUGAAAUCUGUGAAUCUUUUCUAUAAAGCUUUUGAACUAACUUUUUUUAAAAUUAAUAUUAAAAAUAAUUUCUUUUUACUGGUAGUGUCUUUCAACAGUUUUGCAUAACUGUGAUAUGCACAAAUUUUGCAAAUCAGCCAUUAAAAAUAUAAUUUAUGUUUUAAGGAGAAGAACCAAUUAUGGUUUAAAUUAUAAUUUUUCUAGGAUAUGAAAUGAGCAUGUUAAAAAAAAAGUUAUCAAUUUAUUUCAAUACUGAAUUAAAUAUUUCUUACUAUAGUUUCUCUUGCAAAACAAAAUGUAACUUACAAUCAUAUUGUUAAUAAUUGAAAAGCUUGAUGGAAGAUGAUACACCUUAAAAAAAACUUAUUUCUUGUCCAAAGAUCUUAUUUAUUAUUUUGUCGACAAUAAGUUAACUAUCUAGUUAGCACGAGAACUCUUCCAGUGUUGGGUGAAUCAUUAGGAGGUUUGUGUUAUUUGUUAAAUUCUUCCCCAUAGAAACUAGUUAUACUUUAGUUUCCAUAAUUAAUGGUUAACACUUAACAGGGGUGAUUGUGAUACAAAUUGAAAAUUUUAUGCGUAAAAACUCUAUACAAUAUCAAUUUAUACACUAUUCAUAAUAUGGUUAAUCACGAUAUUGGAUGUUAAAAAUGCAAAAAUAUUAAUCUCGAUGUACGAUUUUUAAAUUAGGUAGAUAUUAAAAUUACGUGAAUAUGAAUCUCGAUAUUGGAGGUUCCGGCAUAGUGUCAAACAUUAAAAACUAUGAAAAUCCGACAAACCAAAAAUUAUAAUUGCAGAGGAGUCUAGUUUGAAAAAAUCUUGUUAAUGGGAAUCAGCGAAGGCUUCAAAAUAUAAAUUCUAGAUUGUAAACGAAUGAAGUUUUAAUUCUUACUUUAAAUUUGAAAUUGCAGUGAAAUUUUAGUCUGAUUAUAAGUUCAGAUUCGUGCAAAUCGGCAAAUCAGUGAUGCAGAACUCUACGAAAAAAUCACAUGCCUUGCUACUAGAUUCUAGACCUGGAUGGAUAAUACGAAAAACCCAAAAUACAAACACCCCCGACUUAAAUAUAUAAAAUUUGUUCGCACUGAUACGUGUACUUUCAUAUUAUUAAUAACUCAGAAAAGCUGUAGUAAUCCUCUGUAUAUUCAAAUAGCAAUAGGUUAAGAAGUUUUUUUCGAAUUAAUUUCUUCUUCCAAUUUAUUGCAGAUAUUUACAAGUAAUAUAAUUUCAUCAUUAUGAUUACAAUUAUUUUGUAACAAAUAAAUUUUAUGUUAAUUAAUACACAUUUUAUGUUGCAUUAUUGAUUCAAAAUGUUCCAUACAAUGCUUACAUAAAUCUACUUGGAGAAGUCAAGAUACAUUCCCUUUAAAAAUAAACCUUGUAUUGUUGACCAUAUUUUAAGAAAUGCUAUGCUAAUAAUAUCAAUACUCUUUUUUAAAAAAAUUGUUUAGAACUUUCACUUUUUGAAAUAGAUCGAGUUAUUAAAAAUUCUUCCUAAAUUUGCCCUGUUUACAACCUCAGAUUUUCAGUCCAAAAGAGCUCUUGUGAUGGGCUUGACAGUAGAAUGGUUCUCUGUUGUAAAAUAGAGAAACAAGAGUGGUUCACGAUUCAGAAAUCAAAUCAAACCAGAAAGAACACCAUUUACUCAAAUGAUCUUUAUCCAUUCAGCUUUUCAAUUGUAAUUAGAUUUAUGAGUAAUUGAAUACAUGUAAUUCAACUAUUUUGAAAUAUUGUUUCAUAACAGAUUUUAAUUGAAUAUAUAUUUAUAAUAAUAUUUUGAAUGUUCUUUGUUGUUACCAUUAAAUAUAUAUUUUUUCUUCAAAAUUUUUAAUCUGUUUCUUAAUGAUAAAAGUGUAUUAUAAAUGUACACAUUUGAUUUAGUGCAAAUAAUUUUUAUAUUUUAGUGCACAGACUUUUCAUUCGUUACUAACAGCAUCGAAUUGCUCAAUUUAUUUGAGAGCAUAUUCUUAAUUUAAUACGAAGUUUAAUUAUGUGAAAUUAUUCAGUUGUUCAUUGGUUGCAACCUAUUGAGGAACACAUUAAGGGAAUAUGCAUUUAUUGACGAUUUGUUCAAGGGGCAUUCCAUAUCAGUUAUUACAUAGCAAAUUUUUCUUAGAAUUUAUAUGGGUGUGAAAAGUUUUAUUUUUUAUGACGCUUUAUAGUUAGUUAUUAUAAUAAAUUUUUUUUAAAGCUUAUAUCAAGUUUUGAAAAAUUAUUGUAAAUUAAAAUUGACUUUUUAAAAGACAAUUUGAAGCUGUUUUCUUGGUGAAAUUCAAUAGUUAAGUUACAAAAGCAUUUUAAAGUUAAUGGGUUUGAUGUGGAAUAAACCCUUUAUACAAUGAGAUGUAAAGAUUAUCUUAUUAAACAUAUAUUCUUAAACAGUC
rnacentral:misc_RNA from 1 species